ensembl:lncRNA
AACAAUGAUUACAAAACAAGGUUUUUCGUAUUCAUCUGACGAAUGAGGAGUAGACGAGGGCCAAAUUGCAAAUUUGUGUUUUAUCUUGGUCACACUGUCCGGCAGUGCCAAACUGGUUCAGCAGUGUCUGGUUAGGAGGGAUGGUCAGAAAGGGUUGCAGUCUAGUGAUUCGCUGUGGUGGUUUUGGUCCGUAGCUGAUGGAGCUCACUCCUUCAUGUGCAUUGGGUCCAGGGUUGGGAAGUAGAGGUGCAGUAACGCCCCCUGCCUCAGCUCCUUCAUGUGCAUUGGGUCCAGGGUGGGGAAGUAGAGGUGCAGUAACGCCCCCUGCCUCAGCUCCUUCAUGUGCAUUGGAUCCAGGGUUGGGAAGUAGAG